rnacentral:rRNA from 1 species
GCCUACCAAGGCUACGAUCAGUAGGGGUUCUGAGAGGAUUAACCCCCACACUGGUACUGAGACACGGACCAGACUCCUACGGGAGGCAGCAGUGAGGAAUAUUGGUCAAUGGGCGGAAGCCUGAACCAGCCAUCCCGCGUGAAGGAAGACAGCCUUACGGGUUGUAGACUUCUUUUCUGUCAGAAGAAUAAGCUUGUCGAGACGAGUGAUGCCGGUAUGACAGGAAUAAGCAUCGGCUAACUCCGUGCCAGCAGCCGCAGUAAUACGGAGGAUGCAAGCGUUAUCCGGAUUUAUUGGGUUUAAAGGGUGCGCAGGUUGUUUGAUAAGUCAGUGGUGAAAGUCUGUCGCUUAACGGUAGGAUUGCCAUUGAUACUGUUGGACUUGAAUAUGGAUGAGGUAGGCGGAAUGUGUAGUGUAGCGGUGAAAUGCAUAGAUAUUACACAGAACACCGAUUGCGAAGGCAGCUUACUAAUCCAUCAUUGACGCUGAGGCACGAAAGCGUGGGGAUCAAACAGGAUUAGAUACCCUGGUAGUCCACGCCGUAAACGAUGAUCACUCGCUGUUUGCGAUAUACAGUAAGCGGCUAAGCGAAAGC